GAUGAACGCUGGCGGCGUGCCUAAUACAUGCAAGUCGAGCGAACGGACGAGAAGCUUGCUUCUUUGAUGUUAGCGGCGGACGGGUGAGUAACACGUGGAUAACCUACCUAUAAGACUGGGAUAAUUUCGGGAAACCGGAGCUAAUCCCGGAUAAUAUUUUGAACCGCAUGGUUCAAAAGUGAAAGACGGUCUUGGUGUCACUUAUCGAUGGAUCCGAGCUGCAUUAGCUAGUUGUUAAGGUAACGGCGUACCAAGGCAACGAUGCAUAGCCGACCUGAGAGGGUGAUCGGCCACCCGGGAACUGAGACACGGUCCAGACUCCUACGGGAGGCAGCAGUAGGGAAUCUUCGGCAAUGGGGGAAAACCUGACGGAGCAACGCCGCGUGAGUGAUGAAGGUCUUCGGAGCGUAAAACUCGGUUAUUAGGGAAAAACAGAUGUGUAAGUAACUGUGCACAUCUUGACGGUACCUAAUCAGAAAGCCCCGGCUAACUACGUG
rnacentral:rRNA from 1 species